rnacentral:rRNA from 1 species
GUUGGAAUUGUAGUCUUGGUCUCUGAACGGCGCUGGAUAACGGGUAAUUCGAUGGAAAUCGAGGUCGCAGAGGGUGACAGCCCCGUAUGUCCGUCGAUCCGGCGUCAUAGUUCAGUGAUUCUUCGAGUAGCGUUCCUUGGGAAUGGAGCGUGAAGUGGGAGGUGAUAUCCUUCUAAAGCUAAAUAUUGGCGAGAGACCGAUAGCGAACAAGUACCGUGAGGGAAAGAUGAAAAGCACUUUGGAGAGAGAGUUAAACAGUAUGCGAAGUCGUCGGAAGCAAGCGAAUCAGUGGGUUUGGGCACGGCUCUGCGCGCCGGGUACUCGGACGAGCGUGUGCUAAUUUCUAUUGGCGCCGCUCGCUCCUGUACGCACCCGGUCGUGGUGUGAGGUUUUGGUGUCCGGCUUCGGCCAGCCUUCUGAUCCGACCCGUCUUGAAACACGGACCAAGGAGUCUAAUAUGUGUGCGAGUGCUCGGGUGUUAAACCCCUGCGCGAAGGUAACCCAAAUCGCGUUAGCCUAUUUUGGCGCAUCGCGGGUAGUGUAAUUUCUCCCUAACAAGA